AUGCACGCUGGCGGCGUGCCUCAUACCUGCAAGUCGCGCGCACAGACGAGGAGCUUGCUCCUCUGACGUUAGCGGCGGACGGGUGAGUAACACGUGGAUAACUUACCUAUAAGACUGGGAUAACUUCGGGAAACCGGAGCUAAUACCGGAUAAUAUAUUGAACCGCAUGGUUCAAUAGUGAAAGACGGUUUUGCUGUCACUUAUAGAUGGAUCCGCGCCGCAUUAGCUAGUUGGUAAGGUAACGGCUUACCAAGGCAACGAUGCGUAGCCGACCUGAGAGGGUGAUCGGCCACACUGGAACUGAGACACGGUCCAGACUCCUACGGGAGGCAGCAGUAGGGAAUCUUCCGCAAUGGGCGAAAGCCUGACGGAGCAACGCCGCGUGAGUGAUGAAGGUCUUCGGAUCGUAAAACUCUGUUAUUAGGGAAGAACAAAUGUGUAAGUAACUAUGCACGUCUUGACGGUACCUAAUCAGAAAGCCACGGCUAACUACGUG
rnacentral:rRNA from 1 species